rnacentral:ncRNA from 1 species
ACACAGCUCUGGAGAGCUCCUUAAGUGGACGCCGAAGGUGAAAGGGCUCAUGCCCCAAUCUCUCAGGCAAAAGGACAGAGAAG